CCGGGGCCUCCCACCUGAGUUUCUCACACCGGCCUUUUCCCCUGCCUGCCAAAGUUGGCUGCUGCUCAGGACUGAAGCUGAGCCUGCGCCACCGUCCACCUCCUCCACGGCACUCUCACCAUGACCAGUGUUUACUGCUUCUUUUUCCUUACUUGCUUAUUUUGUCUCCUCCACUAGAAUGCAAACCUCCCAAGCACAGGGCCCUUGUCUGUCAUGUUCUUCAGGGCCCAGCAUCAAGCCGGGCACACAACAGUUACUCAGUGAAAGUUCUCGAACAAAUGGGUAGAAGGACAUGAAUGGAUAG
rnacentral:lncRNA from 1 species